UCUGAAUACUUUAUAUAUCCUUUGUAAAAUGAACUAAACAAAGUGGUUAGCUUGAUAUAAUAUUCUAUGAACUAUUUCAUAAAUAAAAUUCUAUGAACUAUUUUGGGUUAUUGAGGAAAUUUUGAGCUAUUUGAGGAAGUUUUGUUGACGUUUUUAUCAAUUACAUUUCAGUAGUUACAACACACUGGGAAUCAACAUUACAUACUUAUUUCUAGGUUAUCUAGUUAUUAUAAGAGUGAUGCCAUGAUAUUUACUUUGUAUUGCAAGAUGAAUUGUAUAUAUACAUAAUACAUUAUUACUGUCAGCAAUAUAUCAGGUGCUUCUGACAAAAAAUGUUGUUUAAAAAUUAAAUAAAUUAUGCAGUAAAUAAUAACUAGGAAUUUAUUGACUAUCGUCCUUGUGGUGUACCUUACAUUAAACCAAGGACUAUGUAGUAUACAAGUUAGGUGCAGUGUGUAAUUGUUUUCCUAAUCUUAUGGUUGAGAAGACAAAAGUAAUGCAUGAAAAGUAAAUAGAGAAAGGACAACAAAGUUAAUAAAUCACAUGGUAGCUGAAUCUAGAAGUUCAGAAAAAGGUGAGUGAGUAGAGGCUUUAGCAUUCAGAAUAUUUCCUUAAACAGUUUAAAUCUGAAUUGAGAUGACUGAGUAAAAGUUUGGAUUAUUAAAGAAAAUGCCUAUUCAGAAUUUGUAGAAUAUCAAGAACACAUACAUGUAAGUUGGAUAUAGUUUUGUGUGUUAAGGGAACCAAAAGGUGGAGGAAACAAUGGUUUUCAGUGAGAAAACAAGUCAACUAAGUAGAGUGGGCAGGAUUAGAGAAGGCUUUGAAAGCUGUGUAACAAAUAUAUAAAAAUUUCCAUCAUCUCUCGAUCCAUCAUUAUCACUUAUUGAUCUAUCCCAAUUCAGAAGCUCUUAGAUCUCUAGAUCAAUAAUGAAAAUGCUUUUGUGAACUAAGAGUAUAAGUUUUAAUUUCAGUAUAUUUUCCCUCCAAGAACAUUUCUUCUCUAUUCAAAACCUGGUGUUUUUAAUCAUUUAAAUAAUUUAUACAAGACGAGUGCCUGGGUAGUGUAGUUGGUUAAACGUCCGACUCUUAGUUUCAGCUCAGGUCAUGAUUCAGGAUCAUGGGAUUCAGCCCUGUGUUGGGCUAUGUGAUCAGUGUGGAGUCUGCUUGAAAUUCUCUCUCCCCCUCCCACUUGUGGUCUCUCUAAAAUAAAUAAAUACAUCUUUUAAAAAUAUUUAUACAAGACAGAUUAUCUUUUUUGGGUGUAAAUUCAAUGGUUGGUUGAUGUAUGGAAAGCAAGCUAUUAUUAAUUAACUGUUAUGUUUUAGACUUGGGGCUGGGCACAUCAUGUGUUUUAUUAUAUAAUGCUUCACAGCAGUGCCUGGAGUAGACGGUUUUAUCAUUGAACAUUGAUAAUCAGGGACAUUAGAAAUAUGUUGUUAAAAAAAAAAAGAAAUCUGUUGUUAAGCAUCCAGAUCUUUAAUUCCAAAGUCUAUGCUUUCUUUUAUAAUCAAGCUGCCUGCCAUAUCAACUUGUCCUUGGUUAGAUCUAUUAGAUGUGUUCAUCUUUGUUUCACUUCUUUCUAAAAUAAUAUGCACUCUAUACUCUCCUUUUUUCCCAAAGCUCAGAUGGUCAUGUUGAUACCAGGUGCCCCUGUACCUUAGCUGACAGUUGAUGGAACCAAAAACAGGUUUCCUGGGGACGCUCUUAGAGGAUUUGAAAGAAAUGCAUAGCACAGAAGCGAUUGUCUUGAGUGGAUGCAGCAAGUGGUGGCACUGUGAAGUCAAACCAAGGGAAUUGGGUACUGUCCCGUGGCUAGAGGCACCAGAGAGAAACAAAUCCCUCAAAGUUCUGUUGCUGUAAUAAACAGAGUUCCAGAAAGCCAUUGUUAGUUGAGAGAGAAGAUCUUCUGGGUUCUACCACCAGGCAAUUACAUAGCCAUUGCCAAAGGUCAGCUGCAAGAAUCCAUAGCUGUCAAGAGGCAUUGCUUUUAGGAAAAUUUUAUGGAAGUUAUAACUAAUGUCCAAAAGCACUUUUAAUAUAAUGCCAAGUGAAAAUGAAGGAUGUAAAACUUUCUGUAUAAUAUAAUAUCAAGAAAUAUGUAUAUUAUAUAUGUCAAUAUAUAGAAGAUAAGAAAAAGAAUACAUAUUUUCUUCAAUGAAUAUGAUUUAAAUUUA